UUCCUCUUCAUUGUGCAGCCAUCUGUGCUACUUGAACUUUCUCUAUCGUAUAUUCAGAUAAAUAAAUGAAAUCAACAAUCCUUCUAAUUCCACACAUGCAGAGGCAACUCCUGUUGCCACCUUCAGAUGUAACUUUCCACACCCUCGUCUAUCAAUGUGCACCCAUCAUAUUUUACAGAGAUAGGAUCAGGAUGUUCACAUUGUUUCACAGCUUGUAAGACUUUAUUUUUAAAAAUGUUAAGUGACACACAAAAUGUUGAAAAAAAUCACCACUCUAUGUGAUGCAAGUCCAAAUACAAAACAUUAAAACAAACAACUUCCUUCCCAAAGCCAGGUAUGGGUUUAUUUUAUUUUUUUUUAACCAGGUUGCCAUUAUGAAGAAAUUGCUGUGCUCAUCAACUUACUUUGAACCAAGCUGUUCUUUACCGAAUGCCCUGAAGUCAUUGGAAAGUCACACUACCUUGCUUUAAAGUGAAGAAUUAGAAUUGUUUCUCUGAAGAUGAGGGAGGUGCAUGAAGGAUGUCAGGCCUGUCUCACAGAGCUAAUUCCCAAAACUUCUGUGUAUUUGUGGCAGCCGUGUGUAUGCUAUUGAGAACUGGACGGGAGUGAAAGAGAGUGAUGAAGACAACAGUCUAUACAGCAUCUCCUAUUACCUGUUAGCUCAGUGCUUCAUGUGCAUUACCUCACUGAAUUCUCGCAACAGCCCAAAAAGGUCAUAAUCAUCUGGAGAGACACAUUGGCAGAGAGACUACCUUAAUACAAUGGGAGGAAGCGAUGAACAAACUGCGGUGCAUUCACACAACAGCGGUGCUACACAGCAGCGAAGAGGAGCAGCCGACUGACACGCACAACAACUCGGAUCUCAGGAGCAUCGCACCGAGCUGGAGAAGCCAGACACGAGCCGCUGCACACCGUAUGAUUCCAUGGCAUUCUGGGAAAGGCAAAACUCCAAGCACAGAGAACGCAUGAGUUGUUGCCCAGGUUUGGGGUUCCAGGAAGAGGAUGGAUUACUAAGAAGCACAGGGGAAUGUUUUGGGGUGAUGAAAAUGUUGUAUGUCUUGUCUUUUUCUUUUCUUUUUGUGAAACAGAGUUUCACUCUUGUCGUCCAGGCUGGAGAGCAAUGGUGUGAUCUCAGCUCACUGCAACCUGCACCUCCCAGGUUCAAGCAAUUCUCCAGCCUCAGCCUCUUGAAUAACUGAGAUUACAGGCACAUGCCUCCCCGCCCAGCUAAUUUUUGUAUUUUUAGUAGAGACGGGUUUUCACCAUGUUGGUCAGGCUGGUCUUGAACUCCUGACCUCAGGUGAUCCGCCCACCUCAGCCUCCCAAAGUGCUGGGAUUACAGGCAUGAGGCACCACAUUCGGCCAAAGUUCUAUGUCUGGUCACAGCCAUUUACAUUCAUCAGAAUUCACAGAACCAUCCAUCCUGAAGUGGUGAAUUUGCUGAAUAGAAAUUAUACCUCAAAGACCAGACGUUCAAAAAUGCCUUUGUGUUUUGUAAGCUUCAACACUCGCCCAGUGGGAACCACAAAAGCGUUGCCCAAUUUGUUGAAAGCAUUGCUGUUAUAACUUCAGCGUGUGGGGAGAAGUUAUGUUUUCAUACUGUCUUUGUCUGCUCUGGCCACCGUUACAAAACACCAUAGACUGGGUGGACUGAUCAACACGCAUUUCUUUCCCACAGUGGAGGCUGGAAGUCCCCAAGACCCAGGUUCCUGGGGAGGGCUUUCUUCCUAGCCUGCAGGUGACCAACAUCUGCUGUGUCCUCUUGUGACUCUUCCUCAGUUCCUGUGCCAGAGGGGUCGGGGGACAAGUGGGCGUCCAUCUUGUAAGUGUCCUCAUAAGGCCACCAUCCUGUCAAC
rnacentral:lncRNA from 10 species